rnacentral:rRNA from 1 species
UACGUAGGGACCAAGCGUUGUUCGGAUUUACUGGGCGUAAAGGGCGCGUAGGCGGCGCGGUAAGUCACUUGUGAAAUCUCUGAGCUUAACUCAGAACGGCCAAGUGAUACUGCAGUGCUAGAGUGUGGAAGGGGCAAUCGGAAUUCCCGGUGUAGCGGUGAAAUGCGUAGAGAUCGGGAGGAACACCAGAGGCGAAGGCGGCGACCUGGACAGUGACUGACACUCAACUGCGAAAGCGUGGGGAGCAAACAGG